CCUUGAACUUGUUGCUUUCUCCUCAGCCACCUGAGUAGCUGUGCCAUCAGGUCUGGCUAUCAAUUGAGAAUUGAAGAAGAACAUUCAAGAAGGAGGACCAGCAUUUGAAUUAGUUUCUGGUUAUGCCCACAGCCCAGAGGUGAAAGACUAAGUCCCUAUUGCUGAAGACACUAAAUGCGUUGGACAUAGGACCCAGAAGACCCUGCACUGGAUCUGACCUGAAAGCUCCUCACUGAGGACUAACUUUAAUGGUACCAGAAAGCUCCAUGCAAGCUUCCAAAUUCUGCCUGGGUAUGAUGCCUAUUAACCACAGCAACAAUCAGCAUGGUACAAAAACCCUGAGGGUGCAGUCGUGGCACACGUACCUUGAUGUUAACAGCAGCUCUCUAAUUGAAUAAAUGUACGGCUAUCAUCCUCCACCAAGAAAACUUCUAUUUGCAACAGAUGGAGGCUAUUAUAAAAGACUCCAAUGGAUAGGAUCGCAGAGUUGUGAAGCCCAAGCUGUUCUAUCUACAACACAAUUGCACCUAAGGCUCAUGGGUCAUUUUGGAAGAGGAGGCAGAAAGACUGUAAGAGCCAGAUGAUCAGAAAGUUUGCUGUGAGAUUGUGUCUCCUAGAGAAGUCAGAGAAGCUGCACCUAUGAAGACUCACUAAAGUGGCUGCCUAAGCCAGACCUGAACAAGAACAACACCAGUAGACAUACUAAUUGUGGAAGGGGAAAAGCUAAAGAGGCCUCCACCAUAGACAAAACUCCAGAUGACUAAGGGAUGUUGAGAGCUGGGAAAACAGUCUUCCUCGGAGAAAAGCCCAGCAAUCAGUAAUCCAAUACAAAAUGGUCAGCCCUGAGAACAUACAUAAAACAACAUAAUUCAGACCAAGCAAGGUCUAUGGGUGAAGGACAGAUAUUUUCCCUUCUGUUUCUUGGGCAGUCUCUGACUCGGUGACGGAGGGAAGCCGGGGGAAGCAGGAGACAGGAGCAUUGCUGGUGUAUUGCUGAGGAGCACCCUACAACUGCUGAGAUCAGCAUGAAGGGAGAGGAUGAGUGUUCCGAGGAGAAGGCUCGCAGUGAAUCAUGGCACACUGAGCUUCAGAUCUGGAGCCAUGAACAACAGGUUGGGAUACACAUGGACACCGAGAACCACUCCAAAGAGGCUUCCUGUCUGACUUAAGUACCAGAUAAGUCAUCAGAAAAAAAAACUUCAAAGGAAGAUCAGAGUGUCUGCAUGCAGUGACUUCUUGGCUUCCUGUAGCACAUGGUGCUUUCAGGACUUGACAAAAUUCCCACGACAACAUGUGAACCCACUAUAGUGACUGUCACUUCUGAGGGUGGACAUGGAAUACCUGAUGUCACACUUCAGGGCUGGAGAGGUAAGAUUUGAUCCCACAAAAAGAGACUAAGCCCAACUGUGUUUUUCACCACAAUUGGGAACUUUAAGACCACAUUGAACUUUGCCAUACUAUACUAGUAAGAAUAAAAUACUCAUGGAAAUAGGGAGAAACAGAGUGCUGUGGGGUGGGGUGGGGAGGUUCCCAGGAAUCCACAGGGAUGACUCCACCAUAGACUACUGGCAAUGGUCGAGAUGGUGCCUGAGCUGGCAUACUCUGGUAAUUGGAUGGCUGAAUACCCUAACUGACAUCAUAGAACCCUCAUCCAGUGACUGAUGGAAGCAGAUGCAGAGAUCCACGGCCGGGUCUCAGGAGGAGCUCCAGGAGUCCAGUCGAUGGGGGAGA